GUUAGGAAUCUUGCGCAAUGGGGGAAACCCUGACGCAGCGACGCCGCGUGCGGGAUGAAGGCCUUCGGGUUGUAAACCGCUUUCAGCAGGGACGAAAUUGACGGUACCUGCAGAAGAAGGCCCGGCCAACUACGUGCCAGCAGCCGCGGUAAUACGUAGGGGCCAAGCGUUGUCCGGAAUCAUUGGGCGUAAAGAGCUCGUAGGCGGUUCGGUAAGUCGGGUGUGAAAUCUCCACGCUCAACGUGGAGGGGCCACCCGAUACUGCCGUGACUAGAGUCCAGUAGGGGAGUGUGGAAUUCCCGGUGUAGCGGUGAAAUGCGCAGAGAUCGGGAGGAACACCAGCGGCGAAGGCGGCACUCUGGGCUGGAACUGACGCUGAGGAGCGAAAGCGUGGGGAGCGAACAGGAUUAGAAACCCCUGUAGUCC
rnacentral:rRNA from 1 species